UUGAAAGGGAAACGAUUGAAGUCAGUCGUACCAGCGGGAAAUCAACCUUUCGAGUGGGGGUUUUGGAGUUUUGAAGAGUGUCAAAACCUUUGAGAUUUCAAAAUUUUCGCUCCUUUGGUGUACUUUCUCGUGGGUAGGUUAACAUCGAUUUCGAUCAUCAUAAAAGGAUUGGAGGAAUGUAGCUUCGAUCUUGUAUUGAAGUGUUAUAGCCUUUGGUAAAUGUGAUGAUUGGGAUCGAGGAUUGCAACGAAUACCCUUUUGGGCUAUCCGCCUGAUCUCUGAUACGUGGCCUUGGCAUCAAAAGCUUGCUUAUGGUAUCAAGGUAUUACGGUCAAAAGGUUAGAACGGAUUACAUUCGUUAAGGAUGUUGACGUA
rnacentral:rRNA from 1 species